rnacentral:rRNA from 1 species
CACGGGGGAGCAAGCGUUGUUCGGAAUUACUGGGCGUAAAGGGCGUGUAGGCGGUCUGGUAAGUGGGAUGUGAAAUGCCCCGGCUCACCCGGGGACCUGCAUCCCAAACUACCUGGCUUGAGUAUGGGAGAGGAUGAGGGAAUUCCUGGUGUAGCGGUGAAAUGCGUAGAUAUCAGGAGGAACACCGGUGGCGAAAGCGCUCAUCUGGCCCAAUACUGACGCUGAGGCGCGAAAGCUAGGGGAGCAAACGGG